rnacentral:rRNA from 1 species
GACGAACGCUGGCGGCGUGCCUAAUACAUGCAAGUCGAGCGAAGCGGCGGAUGGGUGAGUAACGCGUGGGUAACCUGCCCUUAAGUCUGGGAUACCAUUUGGAAACAGAUGCUAAUACCGGAUACUAAAGGAUGGACCUGCGAUGCAUUAGCUAGUUGGUAAGGUAAGGGCUUACCAAGGCGAUGAUGCAUAGCGGAGGUGAGAGACUGAUCGGCAAAAUUGGGACUGAGAAACGGCCCAAACUCCUACGGGGGGCAGCAGUGGGGAAUCUUGCAAAAUGGACGAAAGUCUGAUGGAGCAACGCCGGUUGAGUGAAGAGGGUUUUCGGAUCGUAAAGCUCUGUUGUUGGUGAAGCGGUAAUCAACCAGAAAGUCACGGCUAACUACGUGCCAGCAGCCGCGUAAUUC